rnacentral:rRNA from 1 species
CGGCGGACGGGUGAGUAACGCGUGGGUAACCUGCCUCAUACAGGGGGAUAACAGUUGGAAACGGCUGCUAAUACCGCAUAAGCGCACAGUACCGCAUGGUACGGUGUGAAAAACUCCGGUGGUAUGAGAUGGACCCGCGUCUGAUUAGGUAGUUGGUGGGGUAACGGCCUACCAAGCCGACGAUCAGUAGCCGACCUGAGAGGGCGACCGGCCACAUUGGGACUGAGACACGGCCCAA